rnacentral:rRNA from 1 species
AUACGGAGGGUGCAAGCGUUACUCGGAAUCACUGGGCGUAAAGCGCGCGCAGGCGGCCAUUUAAGUUGGAUGUGAAAGCCUACGGCUCAACCGUAGAACUGCAUCCAAAACUAUUUGGCUAGAGUGUGGGAGAGGAAGAUGGAAUUAGUUGUGUAGGGGUAAAAUCCGUAGAGAUAACUAGGAAUACCAAAAGCGAAGGCAAUCUUCUGGAACAUUACUGACGCUGAGGCGCGAAAGCGUGGGGAGCAAACAGGAUUAGAAACCCGAGUAGUCC